rnacentral:lncRNA from 1 species
AAAAUUUGUAUGUUUUAAGAUAGCCUCCUUAGUACUGUGCAUAAUCAUUUACUGGGUCUUUAAUUCUUUUAAAAAAUUCGAAUAGUCGUGCAACGUUUCGACAUGCUCCGAAAAGAACCAAUGAAUAAUCUCAACAACUAUAGAUCCCGACAUUAUCAAAAACAUAACUCCAAUGCUUAUCCCGAGACUGAUAAUUACAACGUAACGUGGCUGUCCUAUAUGAUCGUACUUGGUAGUUACAGGAAUCAUCUUAGAGGCCGAACUAGAAAAUGAUUUCUGCUGGACAACUUUGCGAACUAUUCCUGCUUCUCCGUUGUCCUUAAAAGCUGUCAAUAAGGGUAGGCAAGACUUAUUGACACAAUAGACAGCUGAUGCUUUGCUCGAAUCAUCCAAAACAAUUAAGCCAGAAAGGACGAUUAUCGAAUCGUUGAUUGGGAUUUGAGAAAUUUGGUUAGAUUCAAAAAAAUCAAUACUGUUUAUCGUCGAUUGAUUUAAAUGAAUAUCAAGAGAAUAUGAAUUUAUAGCCCCUUCAGAGUUCAACACGUUCAAGUAAGUAUCACUGCUACUUACUUCAGUUCCAUACAACAAAACUGAGUAUUCAUCCUUUGAUUGUGAUUUUAAAGAUGCAAGCAAGACCGGACCGGGUAUGCUAGAAGAACCUUUGCAACUCAUGAUAGUAUUGUUAUCGAAAUUAUACAUCAAUAGAUAGUCUACGUCAGACGUAUCCCAAACAAAUUUGCCAGCUAAAUACAUACUUGAAUAUGUUUCGUUUACCCACAAAAUGGACUGCACUUCAGCAGAUAUCAGGUUGUGACUGAUGUUGCGCCAGCUCGACGAAUUGUAUUCGAAUAUGCAAAAUCCUACACAUCCCGAAGAUUGUUCAGACAAGUUUCCACCAAAGAAGAUAUUGUUGUAAGAAUCAUCCACUAUAACACUAUUUAUGUGCCCUUUCAGUUGUGAAAGUGCUGUAGUGUUUCCUAAGGAAUUUGAUGUUGUGUUGAAAGAAACAAACGUAUUCUUGACAAUGUCUGACUCAUCCGUAUCAUUACUAUAAAUAAUUAAACAGUCCUCAAGUACAAUGAACUUAGAACUGCAAUUAGCGGACAAAAUACGUUUAGGAUAUAUUGGCUCAGUUGAGUUAGCGAAAUAAACGGCAGCAGUACAUUUAUCCUCCAUUUCUUCACUUCCUAGAAUAGCAAUCAUGGAAUUAUUUGCAAACGGAUAGGCUAUAUCUUCUAACCGUAUGUACGAGGGAAAUGCGUUUACGUAACACGGAAUAAACGUGUCAUUAAGACUAUCGCUGGAAAAAUGGGCGAUGUUUCUAGUACUGUAACUCGCAAUUGCACUUAGAUUACCAGAAUAUAUCCUUUGCGUGCUAUUAAAACCAGGUAUAUCGAAAAGAUACCCGGACAUGUAAAAUCCAAGUUUCUCCAUGCUGACCCAUGAUUUGGAAGAAGGAUUCCAUAAACUGAAUCCACUCGUUGAUAUGGCGUAUCCCUCUGAAGUAUAAACUUCAUUGAAAUCUCCUUGAAAAGAUAUAAAGGAUUCAAUUUUGCCGUCAAUAAAGAGAGAAGUGGAGCCUAUAUGAGUUACCGGACCAUUGGUACCAAGACCAAGAGAACUCCAAUUGCGAGAUGUCUCGGAGUACAUCGCAAUAUAAUUAAGCUUUAUUGAGCCAUCACCUGUAUGGGUAAAAUUACCACCAAAAUAAGAAGAAUCUCCAGAUACAUAAAUAUACGAAACCCAUCCGUUCAAUCCGUUAUUAGGAAAUGAAUGUAGGUGAUUUAAGGAAUCCAUGUACACCACAUUAUUGCCAUAGUUAUCAGAAAAAUUCCCUGUCAUGUAUAGAGAAAAAUUUCCAUUAGAUAGACUCUUAAUUUGUGAUAUAGCGGUACCUCGUAGCUUACUAGCAGCUGGAAACUCAAUAAUUGAGGGAAGUUUGUUAACAUCGGUAGUGGUAUUAACAAAAACAAGUCCAUUGGAAACAUUUGUAUAUGAUUGUUCUAAAAAGCGAAUAGAAUGUGUAACCAUACGACUGUUCUUAUAUGGCAGCAACUCAACAUAGGGCCGAAAAUUAUCUGAAAAUCCUUGCAAAUAACCAGAAUAAAGAGACACAUAUUGGUCAAAAUCUGAUGCCUGCUGAACAAGUUUGGUAGCAGGCUGUUUAUUUUUAGCAAAGUAAACAUUUGCUAUAACAGAACCCCUCUGAGAACAUGUAUUAUCGUAUGUGCAACCAGGAAUUAA